GACUUCGUUUUUUUAUGGUAGUAAUAUGUGAUUCGAAGAAGCAUUUGAGGAGGGAAUGAAGGGGCAUGAGAUUAUGAAUUGUGGUUAUUUGAAUGCAAAGAAGCGGGAUAAGGGAGGGCCGUUUGAUGGAGGUUAUAUUUCAUUUUACGUAGUGCUAAAUCUUGUUUUAACUUUAUAUUGUCAAGAUAAGGACGAGGCUAUACGUCGUGUGGAAGCUCUCGAAAAAGUUAAAGCAUUCAAUCAUGGCGGACGUGAAAUUUGUGGCUCCGUUAUUUGUCUUAUUUAUUUUAUGUAUCUCCUACUUCGAUGUUAAGCACACACCAAAUGAUCUUGAUGUUGCUCAAACCUGUUCUUGUAUAAAUAAGGACGCUUUUGAGUUAGGAAGGUACUUUUUGUAGUUUUCUAUCGACCCCAAGCUCCGACCUACCUCUUAUCUUAAAGAAUUCACCAAAUCUUUACGCUUGGCUUCAAAGGCAAAAUUCGAUAAUAUAGUAAUUGCGGGUAAUUUCAAUUUACCUGAUAUCGACUGUAUUAAUAUUAAUGCUACUACUGAAAACCCUAUCUACUCUCAUUUUAUUAAAAUAAUCAAUGACUAUUUCCUACCAUAAUCUGUUCAAUUACGCCCGGAAUAUGGUAUAUUAAUUUAAUCAGGACACAUGCAUUGGUCAAAACUAUUGAAAAUAUUUCAGAAUUAAUAUUAUUAAUAGGAGCAUUUUUCAAGAUAUACUGCAUGUGCAUGCAUUGGAUAACAUACCUUGUUAUUAGUAAGUUAUAUAACUUUUCUUGCAACAAAUAUUUUGCACCAAAAUGAAUAAGCAACAGCAAUGCUAUAUAUAUACCUUUCUGUUUCCAUUUCAUUCCAAGUCAUCAGGAUAUUUCCAUGGGCAACUGCUAGACCGGUUUGUCUCGAACCCUGUGGUAAGACUGGACUUGGAGUAAGAACUCUGAGUAAGUAUUAUUGACAGCUGGGUCAUCUACUAGGGCUUUGGCAAGAAUUUGUAACAUCAAUGACUUUCCUACAUUUCGUUCAGCAGAGUAUAUCAUACUGAUAAGGCCAGGGUCAUCUAGUCAGAAAAUAAAAAGAAAAUAAACAUGUGAUACAUUUUUAUUAGAGGUAUGAGACAUGAUAUUAUUGAUGAAAAGAAUAUUACGUUGCGAGGAAAUCUUAGUAGUCAGGGUUAUGAGUGUCGAUUUGUGUACUAGUUUUUCAUGUGUAACUUGUGGUGAUGACGAAGAAGUCUGUGUUGGUGUAUAGAUAUAACAUGUAAAAUUGACAACAAGCACCAAGCCAAUAUAAACAUUCAUGUUUUUAUUGCUUCUGUGCGAACAAUGUUUGUGACUCUUUCCAAUAAAAAUUGCCAUUACAAUCAACUAAUCACAGAACCUGUUAAGACUUAUUUGCACUAUACUAUACUCAAAUUUUAAGCCGAUUGCAUCGUUUUAGGCAAAUGUAGCAUAUUGUAAGUUGGGCUUUAAAAUUAUGAUUACCUGCUGUGCCUUGUCCUAAAACGAUGAUGGUGACUGGUUUGAUGAUGAGGACUUCGUUUUUUUAUGGUAGUAAUAUGUGAUUCGAAGAAGCAUUUGAGGAGGGAAUGAAGGGGCAUGAAAUUAUGAAUUGUGGUUAUUUGAAUGCAAAGAAGCGGGAUAAGGGAGGGCCAUUUGAUGGAGGUCAUAUUUCAUUUUACGUAGUGCUAAAUCUUGUUUUAACUUUAUUUUGUCAAGAUAAGGACGAGGCUAUACGUCGUUUGGAAGCUCUCGAAAAAGGUAAAGCAUUCAAUCAUGGCGGACGUGAAAUUUGUGGCUCCGUUAUUUGUCUUAUUUAUUUUAUGUAUGUCCUACUUCGAUGUGAAGCACACACCAAAUGAUCUUGAUGUUGCUCAAACCUGUUCUUGUAUAAAUAAGGACGCUUUUGAGUUACGAAGGUACUUUUUGUAGUUUUCUAUCGACCCCAAGCUCCAACCUGCCUCUUAUCUUAAAGAAUUCACCAAAUCUUUACGCUUGGCUUCAAAGGCAAAAUUCGAUAAUAUAGUAAUUGCGGGUCAUUUCAAUUUACCUGAUAUCGACUGGAUUAAUAUUAAUACUACUACUGAAAACCAUAUCUACUCUCAUUUUAUUAAAAUAAUCAAUGACUAUUUCCUACCAUAAUCUGUUCAAUUACGCCCGGAAUAUGGUACAUUAAUUUAAUCAGGACACAUGCAUUGGUCAAAACUAUUGAAAAUAUUUCAGAAUUAAUAUUAAUAGGAGCAUUUUUCAAGAUAUACUGCAUGUGCAUGCAUUGGAUAACAUACCUUGUUAUUAGUAAGUUAUAUAACUUUUCUUGCAACAAAUAUUUUGCACCAAAAUGAAUAAGCAACAGCAAUGCUAUAUAUAUACCUUUCUGUUUCCAUUUCAUUCCAAGUCAUCAGGAUAUUUCCAUGGGCAACUGCUAGACCGGUUUGUCUCGAACCCUGUGGUAAGACUGGACUUGGAGUAAGAACUCUGAGUAAGUAUUAUUGACAGCUGGGUCAUCUACUAGGGCUUUGGCGAGAAUUUGUAACAUCAAUGACUUUCCUACAUUUCGUUCAGCAGAGUAUAUCAUACUGAUAUGGCCAGGGUCAUCUAGUCAGAAAAUAAAAAGAAAAUAAACAUGUGAUACAUUUUUAUUAGAGGUAUGAGACAUGAUAUUAUUGAUGAAAAGAAUAUUACGUUGGGAGGAAAUCUUAGUAGUUACUGGGUUAUGAGUGUCGAUUUGUGUACUAGUUUUUCAUGUAUAACUUGUGGUGAUGAUGAAGAAGUCUGUGUUGGUGUAUAGAUAUAACAUGUAAAAUUGACAACAAGCACGAAGCCAAUAUAAACAUUCAUGUUUUUAUGGCUUCUGUGCGAACAAUGUUUGUGACUCUUUCCAAUAAAAAUUGCCAUUACAAUCAACCAAUCACAGAACCUGUUAAGACUUAUUUGCACUAUACUAUACUCAAAUUGUAAGCAGAUUGCAUCGUUUUAGGCAAAUGUAGCAUAUUGUAAGUUGGGCUUUAAAAUUAUGAUUACCUGCUGUGCCCUGUGCUACAACGAUGAUGGUGACUGGUUUGAUGAUGAGGACGAGGACUUCGUUUUUUUAUGGUAGUAAUAUGUGAUUCGAAGAAGCAUUUGAGGAGGGAAUGAAGGGGCAUGAGAUUAUGAAUUGUGGUUAUUUGAAUGCAAAGAAGCGGGAUAAGGGAGGGCCAUUUGAUGGAGGUUAUAUUUCAUUUUACGUAGUGCUAAAUCUUGUUUUAACUUUAUUUUGUCAAGAUAAGGACGAGGCUAUACGUCGUCUGGAAGCUCUCGAAAAAGGUAAAGCAUUCAAUCAUGGCGGACGUGAAAUUUGUGGCUCCGUUAUUUGUCUUAUUUAUUUUAUGUAUCUCCUACUUCGAUGUUAAGCACACACGAAAUGAUCUUGAUGUUGCUCAAAGCUGUUCUUGUAUAAAUAAGGACGCUUUUGAGUUAGGAAGGUACUUUUUGUAGUUUUCUAUCGACCCAAGCUCCGACCUACCUCUUAUCUUAAAGAAUUCACCAAAUCUUUACGCUUGGCUUCAAAGGCAAAAUUCGAUAAUAUAGUAAUUGCGGGUAAUUUCAAUUUACCUGAUAUCGACUGUAUUAAUAUUAAUGCUACUACUGAAAACCCUAUCUACUCUCAUUUUAUUAAAAUAAUCAAUGACUAUUUCCUACCAUAAUCUGUUCAAUUACGCCCGGAAUAUGGUAUAUUAAUUUAAUCAGGACACAUGCAUUGGUCAAAACUAUUGAAAAUAUUUCAGAAUUAAUAUUAUUAAUAGGAG